UGCCCUAGUAACGGCGAGUGAAGCGGCAACAGCUCAAAUUUGAAAUCUGGCUCUCGGGCCCGAGUUGUAAUUUGUAGAGGAUGCUUUUGGCAAGGUGCCUUCCGAGUUCCCUGGAACGGGACGCCAUAGAGGGUGAGAGCCCCGUCUGGUUGGACACCGAGCCUCUGUAAAGCUCCUUCGACGAGUCGAGUAGUUUGGGAAUGCUGCUCUAAAUGGGAGGUAUAUGUCUUCUAAAGCUAAAUACUGGCCAGAGACCGAUAGCGCACAAGUAGAGUGAUCGAAAGAUGAAAAGCACUUUGAAAAGAGAGUUAAAAAGCACGUGAAAUUGUUGAAAGGGAAGCGCUUAUGACCAGACUUGGGCUUGGUUGAUCAUCCGGCGUUCUCGCCGGUGCACUCUUCCAGUUCAGGCCAGCAUCAGUUUGCCUCGGGGGAUAAAAGUAGCGGGAAUGUGGCUCCUCCGGGAGUGUUAUAGCCCGCUGCAUAAUACCCUGUGGCAGACUGAGGACCGCGCUUCGUGCAAGGAUGCUGGCGUAAUGGUCAUCAGCGACCCGUCUUGAAACACGGACCAAGGAGUCGUCUUCGUAUGCGAGUGUUCGGGUGUCAAACCCCUACGCGUAAUGAAAGUGAACGCAGGUGAGAGCUUCGGCGCAUCAUCGACCGAUCCUGAUGUUCUCGGAUGGAUUUGAGUAAGAGCAUACGGGGCCGGACCCGAAAGAAGGUGAACUAUGCCUGUGUAGGGUGAAGCCAGAGGAAACUCUGGUGGAGGCUCGCAGCGGUUCUGACGUGCAAAUCGAUCGUCAAACAUGGGCAUG
rnacentral:rRNA from 1 species